ensembl:snRNA U6 U6 spliceosomal RNA
GUACUGACUUCACGGCAUGUAUGCUAACACUGGAAUGCUGCAGAGAAUAGAAGCAUGGCCCCCAUGCAAGGAUGACAUGCCAAUUCAUGACGCGUUUCACAUAUUU